rnacentral:lncRNA from 1 species
UGGAGUCUGGAUGGGGGGGAACAAAACGCCAUGACGACAAUAAUGCUAAAACGGUGGGAACCAACGGAGGACAGAUGUGUAUUUGGGCCAGGACCUGUGUUCAACUUGGUGAUGAUGAUGAUGAUGAUGAUGAUGAUGAUGAUGGUGAAUGAUGAAAAUGUUGUAUUUGGACAAGGUGUGAACUCUGUAUUAUGUGUGUCCUGCCCUGUCCUGUCCUGCCCUGUCCUUACCUGUUCUGUCCUGUCCAGUCCUGCCCUGUCCUGUCCUGUUUUGUCCUGUCCUACCCUGUCCUGCCCUGUCCAGUCCUGUCCUGUCCUGUCCUACCCUGUCCUGUCCUGCCCUGUCCAGUCCUGUCCUGUUCUGUCCUGUCCUACCCUGUCCUGUCCAGCCCUGUCCAGUCCUGUCCUGUUCUGUCCUGUGCUGCCCUAUCCUGUCCUGCCCUAUCCUGUCCUGUCCUGCCCUGUCCAGUCCUGCCCUGUCCAGUCCUGCCCUGUCUAGUCCUGCCCUGUCCAGUCCUGCCCUGUCCAGUCCUGUCCAGUCCUGCCCUGUCUAGUCCUGCCCUGUCCAGUCCUGCCCUGUCCAGUCCUGUCCAGUCCUGUCCAGUCCUGCCCUGUCUAUUCCUGCCCUGUCCAGUCCUGCCCUGUCCAGUCCAGUCCUGUCCCAUCCUGUCCUUACCUGUUCUGUCCUGCCCUGUCCAGUCCUACCCUGUCCAGUCCUGCCCAGUCCUGUCCAGUCCAGUCCUGUCCUAUCCUGUCCUUACCUGUUCUGUCCUGCCCUGUCCAGUCCUGCCCUGUCCAGUCCUGCCCUGUCUAGUCCAGUCCUGUCCUAUCCUGUCCUAUCCUGUCCUUACCUGUUCUGUCCUGUCCUAUCCUAUCCUGUCCUUACCUGUUCUGUCUGCCCUGUCCAGUCCUCACCUGUCUUGUCCAAUCCUGUCCUAUCCUGUCCUUACCUGUUCUGUCCUGUCCUGCCCUGUCCUGCUCUGUCCAGUCCUCACCUGUCUUGUCCAGUCCUGUC